GACGAACGCUGGCGGCGUGCUUAACACAUGCAAGUCGAACGGCAAGGCCCUGCUUUUGUGGGGUGCUCGAGUGGCGAACGGGUGAGUAACACGUGAGUAACCUGCCCUUGACUUUGGGAUAACUUCAGGAAACUGGGGCUAAUACCGGAUAGGAGCUCCUGUUGCAUGGUGGGGGUGGGAAAGUUUCGGCGGUGGGGGAUGGACUCGCGGCUUAUCAGCUUGUUGGUGGGGUAGUGGCAUACCAAGGCUGUGACGGGUAGCCGGCCUGAGAGGGUGACCGGCCACAUUGGGACUGAGAUACGGCCCAGACUCCUACGGGAGGCAGCAGUGGGGAAUAUUGCACAAUGGGCGGAAGCCUGAUGCAGCAACGCCGCGUGCGGGAUGACGGCCUUCGGGUUGUAAACCGCUUUCGCCUGUGACGAAGCGUGAGUGACGGUAAUGGGUAAAGAAGCACCGGCUAACUACGUG
rnacentral:rRNA from 1 species